UUUCCCUCAGGAUAGCUGGAACUUACGGCAGUUUUAUCAGGUAAAGCGAAUGAUUAGAGGUCUUAGGGUUAAAACAACCUUAACCUAUUCUGAAUAUUUUUUAUCACAAUGAAACAUUUAUUUCAUCAAUAAGGAAAGCGUUGGUUUGCA
rnacentral:rRNA from 1 species